rnacentral:lncRNA from 10 species
GAAAGAAUUGGCAGACAAAAUACAUGCUGGUGACUCAGUGUGAGGUGUUCUCUCCUCCUUGGGGGGACGAAGCGGGAGCAGAGAACACUGAAGCCAGAGGCACUGACUUAAAAUGGAGCAUCUGAUCCUUAAAGAUCCCCUGGUAUUUGUUGUCAGAGAUGCCCAUGCCAGCCAUACUGCCCAGACUUGAAUUCUCUCCAGAGAAGUUUCUCAUCCAAGAUCCCCAGUAAAGAAAGUAAGCUACAUAAAAAGGAGUUUGCUUGGUGAGCAAUGGUGGAGUGAGGCUCAUGAUUUGAGUAUUUCAAGAUGUCAACUAAGGGCACCUCAACCAAAUGCACCUCAUGCCCACUGACUCAACAGGUCGAGACCUUAAGGAAAUGCGGCAUUCCAUUGCAUAAUGCUUCAAUAUGAGUUAACAAGACAAAUGAGCAGAGAAACUAUGACUCUCCAUGCUGCAGAAGGAAAAUGCUCCUAGCGAACAUCUGCUUUGGGACCAAGGACAGAACCCAGAGGGCUAACAAAGAAGCACCAUGGAGUUGGUACACAGACCUCUGAGAACGGAUCCUAAAUGGCUAUCGCUGCUACCUGGCAUCUCACCAGAGAACUGGUUCUGGAAGCUCUCAAGGAAGGUUGAAGCUUUUAACUGCUACUGACCAAUACAGGAAAAACAGAAAUGUUGCUUGUUUGGACAAUCAUAUCGUGUCCGGA